GCGGCGGACGGGUGAGUAACACGUGGGCAACCUGCCCUGCAGACUGGGAUAACUUCGGGAAACCGGAGCUAAUACCGGAUAACACCGAAAACCGCAUGGUUUUCGGUUGAAAGGCGGCUUUUACCUGUCACUGCAGGAUGGGCCCGCGGCGCAUUACCUAGUUGGUGAGGUAACGGCUCACCAAGGCGACAAUGCGUACCCAACCUGAAAGGGUGACCGGCCACACUGGGACUGAGACACGGCCCAGACUCCUACGGGAGGCAGCAGUAGGGAAUCUUCCGCAAUGGACGAAAGUCUGACGGAGCAACGCCGCGUGAGCGAAGAAGGUCUUCGGAUCGUAAAGCUCUGUUGUCAGGGAAGAACAAGUGCCGUUCGAACAGGGCGGUACCUUGACGGUACCUGACGAGGAAGCCACGGCUAACUACGUGCCAGCAGCCGCGGUAAUAC
rnacentral:rRNA from 1 species